rnacentral:rRNA from 1 species
UACGUAGGGGGCAAGCGUUGUCCGGAAUCAUUGGGCGUAAAGAGCUCGUAGGCGGCUGUUCAAGUCGAACGUGAAAACUCGGAGCUCAACUCCGAGCCUGCGUUCGAUACUGGACGGCUAGAGUCUGGUAGGGGGAUCUGGAAUUCCUGGUGUAGCGGUGAAAUGCGCAGAUAUCAGGAGGAACACCGAUGGCGAAGGCAGCUCUCUGGGACGGUACUGACGCUGAGACGCGAAAGCGUGGGGAGCAAACAGG